rnacentral:rRNA from 1 species
UACGUAGGUGACAAGCGUUGUCCGGAUUUACUGGGCGUAAAGAGCGCGCAGGCGGUCGUUCAAGUCGAGUGUGAAAGCCCCCGGCUCAACUGGGGAGGGUCAUUCGAUACUGAUCGACUGGAAGGCAGGAGAGGGAAGCGGAAUUCCCGGUGUAGUGGUGAAAUGCGUAGAUAUCGGGAGGAACACCAGUGGCGAAGGCGGCUUCCUGGCCUGUUCUUGACGCUGAGGCGCGAAAGCUAGGGGAGCGAAUGGG